AUUGAACGCUGGCGGCAGGCCUAACACAUGCAAGUCGAGCGGCAGCGCGGGGUAACCUGGCGGCGAGCGGCGAACGGGUGAGUAAUACAUCGGAACGUGCCCAGUCGUGGGGGAUAACGUAGCGAAAGCUACGCUAAUACCGCAUACGAUCUCUGGAUGAAAGCGGGGGACCGCAAGGCCUCGCGCGAUUGGAGCGGCCGAUGGCAGAUUAGGUAGUUGGUGGGGUAAAGGCUCACCAAGCCGACGAUCUGUAGCUGGUCUGAGAGGACGACCAGCCACACUGGGACUGAGACACGGCCCAGACUCCUACGGGAGGCAGCAGUGGGGAAUUUUGGGACAAUGGGCGAAAGCCUGAUCCAGCCAUUCCGCGUGCAGGAUGAAGGCCCUCGGGUUGUAAACUGUUUUUGUACGGAACGAAACGGUCCUGGUUAAUACCUGGGGCUAAUGACGGUACCGUAGAAUAAGCACCGGCUAACUACGUGCCAGCAGCCGCGGUAA
rnacentral:rRNA from 1 species